UAGAGUUUGAUCCUGGCUCAGAAUGAACGCUGGCGGCGUGCUUAACACAUGCAAGUCGUACGAGAACUCCUUAGCUUGCUAAGGAUAGUAAAGUGGCGCACGGGUGAGUAACGCGUGAGUAAUCUACCCUGGAAAUCGGGAUAACAUUGCGAAAGUGAUGCUAAUACCGAAUGAUAUCUAAUUUGCUUUGGCUUUUUAGAUCAAAGGUGGCCUCUAUUUAUAAGCUACUGUUUUGGGAUGAGCUCGCGUACCAUUAGCUUGUUGGUAGGGUAAUGGCCUACCAAGGCURCGAUGGUUAGCUGGUCUGAGAGGAUGAUCAGCCACACUGGAACUGACACACGGUCCAGACUCCUACGGGAGGCAGCAGUGAGGAAUUUUGCGCAAUGGGGGAAACCCUGACGCAGCAACGCCGCGUGAGUGAUGAAGGCUUUCGGGUCGUAAAGCUCUGUCAAGUGGGAAGAAUAAUGGAAAGUGAUAAUAUGACUUUUCAUCUGACGGUACCACURAAGGAAGCACCGGCUAACUCCGUGCCAGCAGCCGCGGUAAUACGGAGGGUGCAAGCGUUAUUCGGAAUCAUUGGGCGUAAAGGGCGCGCAGGCGGUUUUUUAAGUCAGAUGUGAAAGCCCGGGGCUUAACCCCGGAAGUGCAUUUGAAACUAAUUAACUUGAGUAUGGGAGAGGGAAGUGGAA
rnacentral:rRNA from 1 species